CACACGAGUGAGCGUACGUAGUUGCGAGUGCCCCCAUCACUCUUGGCUUAAUUCCAGAUUUAAGAUGAUUCAACAGUCAACAAAAUGUUGGAUACUACUCAAGCACGAUGACCCGCAAAACGAUUUCCAGUUGGAUUGGAGAGGAAUGAGCCUCGGUGGUCGUGCAAAGAAAUACUCAGAUGAUUGGCUUCUUUCUUGCGAGACUUCCGCCUCAAUAUUAUCUUCGUGUAUUGAUGGAAACAGUCUGGAAGUUCAUUAGGUAUUAGACCAUGUCCAGAUUGACGAUGAUGCCCUGGUUGCUUAUAUUUUUGAUGAACAUCAAAUUCGAGAAGAUGUUUGCCAUAUUACCAAAAACUAGAGCGAUGAUGAGAAUAACGAUAAUGAUAAUGACGCUACAAUAAAAAUACCUGAUAGAGAAGAAAUCAACCAUUCAGUCGGAAAAUUCUGUCAAUGCAAUUCUGUCACCUAAUGUACCGGGACGAAAUGCAAUAUCCUUAACUCCGAAUAGAAUUUUUUUUUGACAAAAAUAACAAAUUAACUUAGAGUUUAAAAAUAUUUUUAUAAAAUUACAACUUGUGUCUAAUACAUGCAUUGUAUGCUUUCAUUGAACUAUGAGAGUAAGGACGAUCUCGGAUUACAGUUUAUGUACAUGUAUUAACAUUUUUGAUUGUUGUAAGACUUGUUUAUAGCUCUAGUUCCAAGAUUAAGAAUUUUAUUUUAAUUUUCA